GCGCCUAUAGCUCAAUUGGAUAGAGCAUCUGACUACGGAUCAGAAGGUUGCAGGUUCGACUCCUGCUAGGCGCGCCA
rnacentral:tRNA from 1 species